GCGGUACUCGUAACCGAGUGGUAAAGGCGAUGGACUAAAAUUCCAUUCGGUUCUUCCCGUGUAAGGUCGAAUCCUACCGACUGCG